rnacentral:piRNA from 1 species
UGAGCUUUCGGGAGUAAAGAUGAGGC